rnacentral:rRNA from 1 species
AAAUAGAUACCCAGGUAGUCCACGCCGUAAACGAUGAGUGCUAAGUGUUAGGGGGUUUCCGCCCCUUAGUGCUGCAGCUAACGCAUUAAGCACUCCGCCUGGGGAGUACGGUCGCAAGACUGAAACUCAAAGGAAUUGACGGGGGCCCGCACAAGCGGUGGAGCAUGUGGUUUAAUUCGAAGCAACGCGAAGAACCUUACCAGGUCUUGACAUCCCAUUGACCACUAUGGAGACAUAGUUUUCCCUUCGGGGACAACGGUGACAGGUGGUGCAUGGUUGUCGUCAGCUCGUGUCGUGAGAUGUUGGGUUAAGUCCCGCAACGAGCGCAACCCUUGUUCUUAGUUGCCAUCAUUUAGUUGGGCACUCUAAGGAGACUGCCGGUGACAAACCGGAGGAAGGUGGGGAUGACGUCAAAUCAUCAUGCCCCUUAUGACCUGGGCUACACACGUGCUACAAUGGACGGUCAAACGGUUGCCAACCCGCGAGGGGAGCUAAUCCGAUAAAACCGUUCUCAGUUCGGAUUGUAGGCUGCAACUCGCCUACA